rnacentral:rRNA from 1 species
CAAUAGCGUAUAUUAAAGUUGUUGCGGUUAAAAAGCUCGUAGUUGGAUUUCUGUUGGGAACGACCGGUCCGCCCAUUGGGUGUGUAUCUGGCUUGUUCUCGGCAUCUUCUUGGUGAACGUUGCUGCACUUGACUGUGUGGAGCGCUACCCAGGACUUUUACUUUGAGGAAAUUAGAGUGUUUCAAGCAGGCAUAUGCCUUGAAUACAUUAGCAUGGAAUAAUAAGAUAGGACCUCGGUUCUAUUUUGUUGGUUUCUAGAGCUGAGGUAAUGAUUAAUAGGGAUAGUUGGGGGCAUUCGUAUUUAACUGUCAGAGGUUAAAUUCUUGGAUUUGUUAAAGACGGACUACUGCGAAAGCAUUUGCCAAGGAUGUUUUCAUUGA